CCUACGGGAGGCAGCAGUAAGGAAUAUUGGUCAAUGGACGAAAGUCUGAACCAGCCAUGCCGCGUGGAGGAUGAAGGUCCUCUGGAUUGUAAACUUCUUUUAUUUGGGACGAAAAAGGGAAAUUCUUUUCCACUUGACGGUACCAGAUGAAUAAGCACCGGCUAACUCCGUGCCAGCAGCCGCGGUAAUACGGAGGGUGCAAGCGUUAUCCGGAUUCACUGGGUUUAAAGGGUGCGUAGGCGGAUAGGUAAGUCCGUGGUGAAAUCCUGCAGCUUAACUGCAGAACUGCCGUGGAUACUAUUUAUCUUGAAUAUCGUGGAGGUUAGCGGAAUAUGUCAUGUAGCGGUGAAAUGCUUAGAUAUGACAUAGAACACCCAUUGCGAAGGCAGCUAACUACGCGAUCAUUGACGCUGAUGCACGAAAGCGUGGGGAUCAAACAG
rnacentral:rRNA from 1 species